rnacentral:rRNA from 1 species
AGUGAACGCUGGCGGUAGGCCUAACACAUGCAAGUCGAACGGCAGCACAGUAAGAGCCUGCUCUUACGGGUGGCGAGUGGCGGACGGGUGAGGAAUACAUCGGAAUCUACUUUUUCGUGGGGGAUAACGUAGGGAAACUUACGCUAAUACCGCAUACGACCUACGGGUGAAAGCAGGGGAUCUUCGGACCUUGCGCGAUUGAAUGAGCCGAUGUCGGAUUAGCUAGUUGGCGGGGUAAAGGCCCACCAAGGCGACGAUCCGUAGCUGGUCUGAGAGGAUGAUCAGCCACACUGGAACUGAGACACGGUCCAGACUCCUACGGGAGGCGGCAGUGGGGAAUAUUGGACAAUGGGCGCAAGCCUGAUCCAGCCAUACCGCGUGGGUGAAGAAGGCCUUCGGGUUGUAAAGCCCUUUUGUUGGGAAAGAAAAGCAGCAGGUUAAUACCCCGCUGUUCUGACGGUACCCAAAGAAUAAGCACCGGCUAACUUCGUG